rnacentral:rRNA from 1 species
GAAUCUUGCGCAAUGGGCGCAAGCCUGAUCCAGCCAUGCCGCGUGAGUGAUGAAGGCCCUAGGGUUGUAAAGCUCUUUUGUGCGGGAAGAUAAUGACUGUACCGCAAGAAUAAGCCCCGGCUAACUUCGUGCCAGCAGCCGCGGUAAUACGAAGGGGGCUAGCGUUGCUCGGAAUCACUGGGCGUAAAGCGCACGUAGGCGGACUCUUAAGUCGGUGGUGAAAUCCUGGAGCUCAACUCCAGAACUGCCUUCGAUACUGGGAGUCUCGAGUUCGGGAGAGGUGAGUGGAACUGCGAGUGUAGAGGUGAAAUUCGUAGAUAUUCGCAAGAACACCAGUGGCGAAGGCGGCUCACUGGCCCGAUACUGACGCUGAGGUGCGAAAGCGUGGGGAGCAAACAGG